CGCGCGUAUCGCGACUGGCGUUUGGUGGGACACCACAAGGAAGCGAAUUCGGAGCGUCGUACGCCUGGGUGCUCCUC
rnacentral:ncRNA from 2 species